GUACUUCAUUGAGAAUCAAACAUGGCUAGAUAAACCUCCUAUGAAUAAGGCAAUCAUUUUUCUACAAAUUUCACAGUUACUGAUUUAUGUUUUGGGUAAGCAAGUAUUUAAGACUAUUUCAUGCCACCAUUAUGAAGAAGAAAAUGAACAGCAGCAACACAUAUGCUCCAUACGAGUCAGCCCAUUGUGCGCCUCUAACAACGUCACAUACUCUAAUUCCUGCGUGUACUGCUUCGCCAAUAUAGCAUUGAAUCAUACUCUUACAAUUCAACAUGGAGGAAUGUGCAGCAAACCCCCCAAAUCUUGAAUAUUUCUUCAUUUAUCACGAGUGAGACCAUUUGAACUAAGCAUCGUCUUUCCUUCAUAAAGCAGAAUUUAUUGUAUUGUCUUAUUUUUUCUAAUCAAUAAAUAUUACCC
ensembl:lncRNA